rnacentral:rRNA from 1 species
CCCUUAGAUGUUCUGGGCCGCACGCGCGCUACACUGACGAAGUCAGCGAGCAUGUCCUACGCCGACAGGUGCGGGGAAUCUUGUCAAACUUCGUCGUGAUGGGGAUUGAUUAUUGAAAUUCUUGAUCAUCAACGAGGAAUUCCUAGUAAGCGCAAGUCAGCAGCUUGCGUUGAUUACGUCCCUGCCCUUUGUACGCACCGCCCGUCGCUCCUACCGAUUGAAUGUUCCGGUGAGCUCUUCGGACUGCGCGGUCUGCAGUUUCUGCGUUCCGUGCGGAAAGUUGCGCAAACCUUAACAUUUAGAGGAAGGAGAAGUCGUAACA